CUAGCGGCAGGCUUAAUACAUGCAAUGUCGAGGGGCAGCGGGCGUGCAAUACUUGCCGGCGACCGGCGCACGGGUGCGUAACACGUAUGCAACCUACCUAUAACUGGAGAAUAGCCCCGAGAAAUCGGGAUUAAUACUCCAUAACAUUGCGAAAAGGCAUCUUUUUGCAAUUAAAGUUUUAAUGGUUAUAGAUGGGCAUGCGCGGUAUUAGUUAGUUGGUGAGGUAACGGCUCACCAAGACUGCGAUACCUAGGGGUUCUGAGAGGAUUAAACCCCCACACUGGUACUGAGACACGGACCAGACUCCUACGGGAGGCAGCAGUAAGGAAUAUUGGUCAAUGGACGCAAGUCUGAACCAGCCAUGCCGCGUGAAGGAUGACGGCCCUAUGGGUUGUAAACUUCUUUUGUACGGGAAAAAACCCUCGCUCGUGAGCGGGGCUGAUGGUACCGUAAGAAUAAGGAUCGACUAACUCCGUGCCAGCAGCCGCGGUAAUACGGAGGAUCCAAGCGUUAUCCGGAUUUAUUGGGUUUAAAGGGUGCGUAGGCGGGAUGAUAAGUCAGUGGUGAAAUCCUACAGCUUAACUGUAGAACUGCCAUUGAUACUGUCAACCUUGAGUACAUUUGAAGUGGGCGGAAUGUGUGGUGUAGCGGUGAAAUGCUUAGAUAUCACACAGAACACCGAUAGCGAAGGCAGCUCACUAAACUGUAACUGACGCUGAGGCACGAAAGCGUGGGGAGCAAACAGGAUUAGAUACCCUGGUAGUCCACGCCGUAAACGAUGAUCACUCGAUGUGUGCGAUA
rnacentral:rRNA from 1 species